GUUCCCCCGCCUGGGGGAGUACGGCCGCAAGGCUAAAACUCAAAGGGAAUUGACGGGCGACCCGCACAAGCGGCAGAGCAUGCGGGAUUAAUUCGAUGCAACGCGAAGAAACCUUACCAAGGCUUGACAUACACCAGAACACCGUAGAAAUACGGGACUCUUUGGACACUGGUGAACAGGUGGUGCAUGGUUGUCGUCAGCUCGUGUCGUGAGAUGUUGGGUUAAGUCCCGCAACGAGCGCAACCCUCGUUCUAUGUUGCCAGCACGUAAUGGUGGGAACUCAUGGGAUACUGCCGGGGUCAACUCGGAGGAAGGUGGGGAUGACGUCAAAUCAUCAUGCCCCUUAUGUCUUGGGCUUCACGCAUGAUACAAUGGCCGGUACAAAGGGCUGCAAUACCGUGAGGUGGAGCGAAUCCCAAAAAGCCGGUCCCAGUUCGGAUUGAGGUCUGCAACUCGACCUCAUGAAGUCGGAGUCGCUAGUAAUCGCAGAUCAGCAACGCUGCGGUGAAUACGUUCCCGGGUCUUGUACACACCGCCCGUCAAGUCGGAAAGUCGGUAACACCUGAAGCC
rnacentral:rRNA from 1 species